rnacentral:rRNA from 1 species
GACGAACGCUGGCGGCGUGCCUAAUACAUGCAAGUAGAACGCUGAAGGAGGAGCUUGCUUCUCUGGAUGAGUUGCGAACGGGUGAGUAACGCGUAGGUAACCUGCCUGGUAGCGGGGGAUAACUAUUGGAAACGAUAGCUAAUACCGCAUAAUAGUAGAUGUUGCAUGACAUUUGCUUAAAAGGUGCAAUUGCAUCACUACCAGAUGGACCUGCGUUGUAUUAGCUAGUUGGUGAGGUAACGGCUCACCAAGGCAACGAUACAUAGCCGACCUGAGAGGGGGAUCGGCCACACUGGGCCUGAGACACGGCCCAGACUCCUACGGGAGGCAGCAGUAGGGAAUCUUCGGCAAUGGACGGAAGUCUGACCGAGCAACGCCGCGUGAGUGAAGAAGGGUUUCGGAUCGUAAAGCUCUGUUGUAAGAGAAGAACGAGUGUGAGAGUGGAAAGUUCACACUGUGACGGUAUCUUACCAGAAAGGGACGGCUAACUACGUG